UACGUAGGGGGCAAGCGUUAUCCGGAUUUACUGGGUGUAAAGGGGGCGCAGACGGCGAUGCAAGCCUGAUGUGAAAGCCCGGGGCUCAACCCCGGGACUGCAUUGGGAACUGCCCUGCUGGAGUGCCGGAGGGGCAGGCGGAAUUCCUAGUGUAGCGGUGAAAUGCGUAGAUAUUAGGAGGAACACCAGUGGCGAAGGCGGCCUGCUGGACGGUGACUGACGCUGUGGCUCGAAAGCGUGGGGAGCAAACAGG
rnacentral:rRNA from 1 species